rnacentral:rRNA from 1 species
GAAGAAUCAUUAUUGGUUAUUGUAUUUUUUUUGAUUUAAUUUUUUGUGCGAUAUAUUAUUUGUACCGUGAGGGGUAGGCGUUUGUUAAUGUAUUUUUGAAAGUUGGUUUUGUUUAUUGUACCUUGUGUAUCAGGGUUUAUUGAAAUUUAUUAUGUAUAUUUUAUUUCCCGAUUUUGAAGGAGUUAAUGGUUUAUUUUAGUUACUGUUUCAUAAGUAUUAAUAAUACUCUGUUGGUAGUGAAAUGUUAUUCGUCUUUAGUGGUUUCUGGUUUUUCAAGAAAUGAAUUUAAUUCAUGCACCUUAUUUAAUUUUUGUUGUUCUUUUAAUUGUUUUUAUUUGGUGUUAAGAUUAAGGGGGAUUAGCUCCUUAUUUUAUUUUUAUAAUCUCUUUAUUUUAUUUAAUUUUGUGGAUUUUAUGGUGAUUUUCAAUUUGAUUAUGUUAAAAUUUUAUUUGUCUGUUUGUCUAUUUGUUUAUGGGUUUAAGUAUUUUAUUGGAAUGUUUUUUGUAUUUAUUUAUGAAUAGUAAUUAUUAUAUAAUUAGUAAAUUUUCUUAUUGUGUUGUUGAAUUAUGAGUGUUAAAUCCUUCUAAGGAAUUAGGCAAAGUUUUUCAUGUCCGCCUGUUUAACAAAAACAUCUUUUCUCGUUAGUUUUUGAAGUAUGGCCUGCCCACUGACGUUUAUUAAUUUAGUUGAAGGGCCGCGGUAUUUUGACCGUGCAAAGGUAGCAUAAUCAUUAGUUCUUUAAUUGUGAUCUGGUAUGAAUGGCUUGACGAGACAUGAGCUGUCUCGGGGAUGUAGGAUCAAUAAGGUUUGAUUGAAAUUGGUUUUUGAGUUAAAAUUCUUAAAUAUUUUUAUGGGACGAGAAGACCCUAUAGAGUUUGACACUUUAUCUUAUCUUAAUUUAAUUUGUUUGUUUUUUGGUUUGAUUAAUUUAAUGUGUUUUGUUGGGGUGAUGGGAGGAAUAUUAUUAACUCCUCUUUAUUUAUUGUAUAUUUAUUUAUAUUUGUUUGAUCCAUUUAUGUUGAUUAUAAGAUUAAAUUACCUUAGGGAUAACAGCGUUAUCUUCCUUGAGAGUUCUUAUUGGCGGGGAGGUUUGCGACCUCGAUGUUGGAUUAAGAUUAAUUUCCGGUGCAGGAGCUGGAAGUGAUUAGGUCUGUUCGACCUUUAAAAUCUUACAUGAUCUGAGUUCAGACCGGCGUGAGCCAGGUUGGUUUCUAUCUAUAAUAGUGUUUUAUACCUUAGUACGAGAGGACCGGGUAUUUGGAAUAAUUUUAAUUUCUAUGGUUAUCAUUAAUAUAUUACUAUUUUGGCAGAUAAGUGCAU